UACAGAGGGUGCGAGCGUUAAUCGGAAUUACUGGGCGUAAAGCGCACGUAGUCGGCUUUGCAAGUCGGUUGUGAAAUCCCCGGGCUCAACCUGGGAACUGCAUCCGAGACUGCAUUGCUAGAGUAUGGGAGAGGAAAGCGGAAUUUCUGGUGUAGCGGUGAAAUGCGCAGAUAUCAGGAGGAACACCAAUGGCGAAGGCAGCACUCUGGGACGUGACUGACGCUGAGACGCGAAAGCGUGGGGAGCAAACAGG
rnacentral:rRNA from 1 species